rnacentral:rRNA from 1 species
UACAGAGUGCUCAAGCGUUGUUCGGAUUCAUUGGGCGUAAAGGGUGCGUAGGCGGCGCGGUAAGUCGGCUGUGAAAUCUCGGAGCUUAACUCCGAAACUGCAUUCGAUACUGCCGUGCUUGAGGACUGGAGAGGAGACUGGAAUUUACGGUGUAGCGGUGAAAUGCGUAGAUAUCGUAAGGAAGACCAGUGGCGAAGGCGGGUCUCUGGACAGUUCCUGACGCUGAGGCACGAAGGCCAGGGGAGCAAACGGG